rnacentral:rRNA from 1 species
UACAGAGGGUGCGAGCGUUAAUCGGAAUUACUGGGCGUAAAGCGCACGUAGGCGGCUUGGUAUGUCGGGGGUGAAAUCCCCGGGCUCAACCCGGGAACUGCGUCCGAUACUGGCAGGCUUGAAUCCGGGAGAGGGAUGCGGAAUUCCAGGUGUAGCGGUGAAAUGCGUAGAUAUCUGGAGGAACACCGGUGGCGAAGGCGGCAUCCUGGACCGGUAUUGACGCUGAGGCGCGAAAGCCAGGGGAGCAAACGGG